AGGCGAAGGCAUUUUUACAACUUUUUUUCUGACAUUGAGAUACUAAGGUCCGGGUAGCAAAUGGGAUUAGACACCCCAGUAGUCUAGACACUCGACGAUGGGUAUUAAAAUUAUAUUAAAAGAAAUUAAUAUUUUUACAGCAAACGCGUUAAAUACUCUACCUGAAAAAUAUGAUCGCAAGAUUUAAAUUCAAAGAAAUUGACGGAGAUACCUUGACAGGCGGUGGAACAUGUUGUUUAAUUCGAUGAUCCGCGCAAAUCUUUACCAGGUCUUGAUCGAUAUUCGACAAUAAAUUAUAUUGGUGUUGUUAAAUUUUUACUUUUAACAUUCGAUAUCCACAGGGUUGCAUGGCUGUCGUAAGUACUGUGUCGUGAGAUCCAAGUAAAAAUUGGGAAACUAGCGUAACCCCAGAAAAUAGCAGAUUUUUAAAAUUUCUAUUUUCAAUGCACCCGUAAACUAUGGAGUUUGCAAAAAAGGGAUGACGACAAGUCUUCAUGGCCCGUAUGAACUGGGCUACAAAUGUGUUACAGUGAAAAUUACAAAAU
rnacentral:rRNA from 1 species